UUGUUUUAUUUCGUUUGACUCGGACGCAGCAUUAGGCGGGUUAUGAGGGCUGUCGAGGGCCCCGGCGAGGCCAGGUCGCCCCCGAAGCAACAGGGUCGGUAGACAUGGUGUGAAGAAUACAGGGGUGAGCUGUUACUCUUGUUAAUGAUCCCUCCGCAGGUUCACCUACGGAGA
rnacentral:misc_RNA from 1 species